AGUGAAAUAGAACCUGAAACCGUGUACGUACAAGCAGUAAGGACAGGCUUUGUCCUGUGACUUGCGUACUUUUGUAUAUAUGGGUCAGCGACUUAAUAUUCAGGAGUGGCAAGGUUAUACCAUCUAGGGGAGCGUAGGGAAACCGAGUCUUAACUGGGGCGUUCAGUCUCUGGAUAUAGACCCAAACCAGGUGAUCUAGCCAUGGGAGGUUGAAGGGUUGAUAACAUCAACUGGAGGACCGGAACCGAUAAUGUUGAAAAAAUUAGCGGGAUGACUUGUGGUAGGGGUGAAAGGCCAAUACAACCUGGAGCAUAGCUGGUUCUCCCGAAAGCUAUUUAAGGUAGCGCCUCGGACGAAUACUACUGGGGGUAGGAGCACUGUUAAGGCUAGGGGGUCCAUCCCGACUUACCAACCCUUUGCAACUCCGAAUACCAGUAAGUUACUAUCCGGAGACACACGGCGGGUGCUACGUCCGUCGUGGAGAGGGAACAACCCAGACCGCCAGCUAAGGUCCCAAAUUACUACUAAGGUGGGAAACGAUGUGGGAAGGCUCAGACAGCCAGGGAUGGUUGGCUUAGAAGCCAGCCAUCAUUUAAAGAAGCGUAUAAUGCUCACUGGUCGAGUCGGCCUGCGCGGAAGAUGUAACGGGGCUAAGUAGUAAACCGAAGCCUGCGGCAUGUGCUUUUGCACAUUGGGUAGGGAGAGCGUUCUGUAAGCGGUUGAAGGUGUGUGUAACGCAUGCUGGACGUAUCAGAAGUGCGAAUGGCUGACCAUGAGUUAACGAUAAAGGGGGUGGAAAACCUCCUUCGCCGGAAGACCAAGGUUCCUGUCCAACGUUAAUCGGGCAGGGUUAAGUCGACCCCUAAGGCGAGGCCGAAAGGCGUAGUCGAAUGGGAAACGGUUAACUAUUCCCGUACUUCUUACAAUUGCGAUGGGGGGACGGAGAAGGGCUAGGUGGGCCUGGCGACGGUUGUCCAGGUCAAGUGCGUAGGCUUAGAGUUAGGUAAAUCCGGCUCUUUUUAAGGCUGAGACACGACGUCGAGCUUACGGAUGUGAAGUCAUUGAUGCCAUGCUUCCAGGAAAAGCCUCUAAGCUUCAGAUUGUAAGGAAUCGUACCCCAACCGACACAGGUGGUCGGGUAGAGAAUACAAGGCGCUUGAGAGAACUCGGGUGAAGGAACUAGGCAAAAUGGUACCGUAACUUCGGGAGAAGGUACGCUCUCGACGGUGAAGUCCCUCGCGGAUGGAGCUAUUGAGAGUCGCCAGAUACCAGGUGGCUGCAAACUGUUUAUUAAAAACACAGCACUGUGCAAAAUCGUAAGAUACGUAUACGGUGUGACGCCUGCCCGGUGCCGGAAGGUUAAUUUGAUGGGGUUAGACUUCGGUCGAAGCUCUUGAUCGAAGCCCGGUAAACGGCGGCCGUAACUAUUAACGGUCCUAAGGUAGCGAAAUUCCUUGUCGGGUAAGUUCCGACCCUGCACGAAUGGCGUAAUGAUGGCCACGCUGUCUCCACCCGAGACUCAGUGAAAUUGAAUCGCUGUGAAGAUGCAGUGUACCCGCGGCUAGACGGAAAGACCCCGUGAACCUUUACUACAGCUUGGCACUGAACAUUGACCCUACAUGUGUAGGAUAGGUGGGAGGCUUUGAAGCACGUACGCCAGUAUGUGUGGAGCCGUCCUUGAAAUACCACCCUUGUAGUGUUGAUGUUCUAACGUCGACCCCUUAUCGGGGUUGCGAACAGUGCCUGGUGGGUAGUUGACUGGGGCGGUCUCCUCCCAAGAGUAACGGAGGAGCACGAAGGUGGGCAAUCACGGUUGGACAUCGUGAGGUUAGUGCAAUGGCAUAAGCCGCUUGACUGCGAGAAUGACAAUUCGAGCAGGUGCGAAGCAGGUCAUAGUGAUCGGUGGUUCUGAAUGGAAGGCCAUCGCUCAACGGAUAAAAGGUACUCCGGGGAUAACAGGCUGAUACCGCCCAAGAGUUCAUAUCGACGGCGGUGUUUGGCACCUCGAUGUCGGCUCAUCACAUCCUGGGGCUGAAGUCGGUCCAAGGUAUGGCUGUUCGCCAUUUAAAGUGGUACGCGAGCUGGGUUUAGAACGUCGUGAGACAGUUCGGUCCCUAUCUGCCGUGGGCGUUGGAAGAUUGAAGGGGGCUGCUCCUAGUACGAGAGGACCGGAGUGGACGAACCUCUGGUGUUCGGGUUGUGUCGCCAGACGCAUUGCCCGGUAGCUAAGUUCGGAAUCGAUAACCGCUGAAAGCAUCUAAGCGGGAAGCGAGCCCUGAGAUGAGUCUUCCCUGAUACUUUAAGUAUCCUAAAGGGUUGUCGGAGACUACGACGUUGAUAGGUCAGGUGUGUAAGUGCUGUGAGGCAUUGAGCUAACUGAUACUAAUUGCCCGUGAGGCUUAACCAU
rnacentral:rRNA from 1 species